rnacentral:lncRNA from 1 species
UUUUUUCUUUCUAAAAAUGGCUAGCCCAGUUCUUUUGUGAUUUGUCAAGUAAGUCGCUUUAUCAGGCCUGCUGGGCUGCAAAUCUUUCAAGACGAGGAGAGCUUCAUUCGGCUGGCCGAGAAAAUGGCCUAUCAGUAAUGAGAAAUGGGUUGUACAUUUUUAAAACACAUCAAACCGGCAAUUAUUUUAAAAUACCUUUUUUCAUUUUGAGAUUUUAAAUUACAUUGAUUUUUAUGAGUGGACAAUUUAUUGGAUUUUAUAUUGAUAUACAUUUAUUUUUAAAAUCAGUCUGAAUGUGACUCGAAAUUUCGGGAUUAAAAACAGUUCAGACCGCACCGACAUAUGCAAAAUUUCGUAUAAUUUUUUAACCGUGGCCACAAUAUGGGAUGUAAUGCGAACAUAAAGAAUAUGGGCUCCAAAAAACCCCGUAAGAAUUAGCAAAUGGGCUGUAAAUUAUUUGAAAUAAUGGCAGAUGGACUGUAUGCUGUUUUCCAUAGAUUUGAAGCUUUCCACAGAUGGCCUUUAUACUGUUGGAUGUCCAUCCAAUGGCCGUCGUGCUUCUUCAAUCUCUGCUCUUCCUGCUCCAGCCGCUCAAACAAGCGUCGGCGGGACUGCCUGCUCCCUCCUCCCCGCGGCCGGCUAUGCUGCCGCGUAGGCCUCACCGCCCCACCGUACUCCCAUCACUGGCCUAGCCAUCCCUCUACUCACCCACACAUGUUGUUAUUCUCCGGCAAUGGCAGACGAACUAGUAAACCCUCGUAUAGUCGGACUCCCCUGCGCAUGGGAAACAAAAACAACGGCCGAGUCUUCCCUGCCUCCGUGUUGUUCCCUUCCUAGGCCUCGCCGUUGUCCACCGCCCUGGUGCUCUCGGCGUGGCGUGGUCAGCGUGGUCAACGACCAACAUGCAUCUGAAGUGGACUGUACGUGGAGAGGCUGACAGCUGGGUCCUUAUUACGCGCAAAAUAAUGAUUUCCUCCACCUGACAUCUGGGACCCACCGAGACGGCCUAUGUAUUUCGUGAAAAAAACGUUACUGCCACUGACAGCUCGAACCCACCAGCUAUAUCUUCGCACGCAAGGAAGUGUCUCCUUAUUACGCACAAAAAAUGAAUACUCCCCCUGCUAGCUGGGACCCAGUAUAGUGGGCCUACUAAGUUGACGGGGAUGAAGGGCUUUGUCAACUUAGUCAAUAUGCACAAUUCUAGCUCGACUGACCGUACAAUGUCCAUCCAAUGGCCGUAGUGCUUCUUCAACCUCUGGUCUUCUUGCUCCAGCCGCCCAAAGCAGCGCCGGUCGUGCCGCCUGCUCCUACCUCCCAUGGCCGGCUGUGCUACCGUGGAGGCCUCACCGCCCCCAUACUACUCCCACCGCUGGCCAGGCCAUCCCUCCACUCCACUCACCCAAACCCUCUGUUAUUCUGCGGCGAUGCCAGCACAGCCGAACCAGUGAACCCGCAUACUCCUCUCCACGUGGGCAUCAACUGCCGCGUCUUCCCUGGCUCUGUGUCGUCCCUUCCUAGGCCUCAUCGUCGUCCACUGCCGUGGUGCUAUCGGCGCGGAGUGGUCAAUGUGGUCAACGACCAAAUUCCAUCGGAAGAAUACUUUACGUGGAGAGGCUGACAGCUGGAUCCACGGCAGCCGAAAUUUAAGAACCCCAAGACGAUGGAGGGAAGGAUAACCCGGUCCCGGAGGCUACUGUUAUAUUGAUGAAAGUUUAAAGGCCGUCAGAAAAUUUCCGGCUUAGAAAGUAUAUGACAGUUAUAAAAUCCUGGCUCGAUGAAGAAGUUCCAAGUCAUCAGAAAUGACUCCGGUUUACAAUCCGGUUCAAGAAAAAUCUAUUCUCCUACAAGGCUCUGAAGCGCUCAAAUCCGGUUUAACAAUGUCCGGUUCAAAAAGGAAUUAACUUCUCGCAAGUUCGAGUUUAAAGGCCGUCAGAGAAUUUCCGGCUGAAAAUGAAGAUUCCGGUUUAAAAUUCGGUUCAAGGGAAAGAUGUCUCCCACAAAGCUUUGAAGCUCUUAAUAUCCGGUUUGACAUCCGGUUCAAGAAGGAUUUAUCUCUGGCAAAUAGUUAAAGGGUGCCAAAGAGGACCUGCUGCCAUGAUGUGCGGUUCAAACAUGGGUAUCCUGCCUUAUUGGCUUAUCAUAUUAUUGAUCACUUGGGGGCUUGGUCAUGUCUGAACCAUAGUCACACCUUUUGAUCGGCUCAAUGCAACAGCGUCACUUGGGGCUUUGGUCGCGUCCGAACCAUACCAACACCUUUUGAUAGGCGUAAAGCCACAGCAUCACUUGGGGACUUGUGGUCACGACUGAACCAUAGUCACGCCUCUUGGUCGGCCUAGUGCCACAACAUCACUUGGGGGCUUGGUCGAACCCGAACCAUAGCUACACCUCUUGAUCGGCAUAAUGCCAAAGCAUCACUUGGGGACUUGUGGUCACGUCUGAACCAUAGUCACACCUCUUGAUCGGCCUAGUGCCACAGCAUCACUUGGGGGCUUGGUCGAACCCGAACCAUAGCUACACCUCUUGAUCGGCGUAAUGCCAAAGCAUCAUUUGGGGACCUGGCUGACUCGAACCAUAGCUACGCCUUUUUGGGGGCUUGGUCGUGUCCGACCAUGGUAAUGCCUCUUGAUCGGCUCAAUAGCCUCUUUUUGCAAAUGGUUUUAUCAUUGCCUUUGCUUGAAAUUUUGUUUUGAUAAAUAUUUCUUUUGUUGCGUUUUUAAACCGACAAAUUCUUAAACCGGUUCGACUAUCAAAUUACAAAUUGGCGGAACAUGGUCAAAUCUUAAUCCGGAGACUAUCUGCCUGAUUUGGUUUUAAGUUACCAUCCUAUUAUGGAGUAAACCGGUGUUUAUCAACCCGGCUCGGCUUUCAACUACAAGUUGUCAGUACACGAUUAAGUUAUAAUCCGGAGACUAUCAGCCUGGUCUGGUUUGACUACAAGUCAUCAGUAUUAUAUAUGGUUAAUCUGGGGUUUAUCACAAAACCGGUAUGAUUUUAUCAUAAACCGGUACAAUAUGAAAGGAGUUAUCAUUAAUCAAAGAUUGGGGUUAUCACUCUUACUACAAAAAGUUGGUAAACCAAUGAUGUGAUUCAAUGUCACAGGUAUGAUAUAUUUCAUAUUUUAAGUGCAGCCUUGGUUAUAAACCCAGGUUAUAUGUUGGGCAUUAUGACCCGUCCGGCGAUAAACCGCCUGGACACUUUAAACUUGUUGUAUGCAGAAACAGGUUGAAUAAAGUAUGAUGAUAAAUUCCGGUGUUUGUUAAACCGGCCUGGCUUUUGACUAUAAGUCUCCAGUAUGAUGAUAAAUUAUCAGGUGUUUAUUAAACCGGCCUGGCUUUAAGACAAUUAGUCGCCAGUAUAUGAUGAGAAAUUAUCCGAUGUUUGUUAAACCAGCCUGGCUUUUGACUAUAAGUCGCCAGUAUAUAUUUGGAUUGCGUCAUUGGAAUCAUGCGCUCAUAAAUCAUUGGAUUAUAUUAUUCAAAUCUUCAAAUAGCCAACAUGGCUGGAUUUUAUUAUGGUUAUCAAUAACCAGUAUUAUGAUUAAGGUUUUCAAAGUCGCUUUAGCGCAAUGGCUAUUAUAUUAUCAAAGGAUAUGAUUUAUUUUACAAUUGAAGGAAUAGUCCCAAGUCGCUCCAGGCUUACGACCCGGCACUUGGGGGCUACAUUAUUCAACUUAAGAUUAUAUCAAAUAUGCAAGUCUCAUGUCGCUGCAAGCAUGCACCAUAACACUUGGGGGCUAAUGCAAAGUCAUUUUUUGCUCAUCUUAUUGUAGACCCGACUCAUCAUAUCAUAAUGAGCCGGCCCUUGGGGGCUACACAUCACUGCUCAAGUUUACAUGAUCAUAUUUAUAAAGUCCCUGCUCAUUAUUGCAUAAUGACCCGGCCCUUGGGGGCUACACUUGUUGAAGUUUUUAUGAGUAUAAGGCAAUUACAAGUCCCAGGUUGCUGCAAGCAUGACAACCCGGCACUUGGGGGCUACAUAUAUGGAGUCUUCAGUUUUUACUAGUGACUGAGAUGAGCAACAUGGAUGUCUUCAAAGUGGCAGUAAUUAUAUGGAAGCAAGUCUCAAAUCAUCACCUUGUUCUGUUCAAGACUUGGGGGCUACAGGUAAUAUGGAUAUAAGGGAUAAAUAUCUUUUAAAUUUCAGUUUUGAGCUAACCAGAUUGACCUGGUGCCUGCAACAAUUAUAAACCGGCGUCACCAACAAUUAUUGACCCUGCGUCACCAAUCAUUAUGACCCGGUGUCUGCAACAAUCAUGAACUGGCGUUGGCAACAAUCAUGAACCGGCGUUGGAAACAAUCAUGACCCGAAAUUAUCAGUUUUUAUAACCCAACAAUUUUGGUAAUAUUAAACCGGCAAGUUUUAUAUCUUCAAACCGGCUGAAUAUCAGAUGAGUAUUUCAAGACCUAUAUUUCUUAAACCGAUGCUUUGGAAGCCGACUCGAGUGGAUUAUUCUUCAUAAUAUUUUUCUAUGAGAAACCAACGUCAGCAAUUUGAGUAUGAGGCUGGAUAUUGACUCGGAUUUUCUAGAAGGAGGAAAUGACAAGGAUUUAAGGAUGAUUAGGUGCCUGUCUACAAGAAUUCUUAAUCCGGAGCACAACCUGUCAAAUUGGUUCUUGUGUUUAUUUUGCAGCAUAAGUUUACCAUGGAUAAAUCCAAGCUAAACUUGAGGGCUAAUGUCGGGGAUAUACCCCGCGGCGUAAACCGGCCGGAAGUAUAACCCAGCCGGACUUGGCGGUUUACUUGAGACCCGGUUGAGACUUGAUGAUUCACUAGUGACCCGUUUGGACCUGGCGGUUUAUGAUUCAUUGGUAAUCCGGCAGGCGGGUCAAAGGAGCAACAAGACCCGGUGACCCAACGGGCGGUUCAUGAAGGUCGGUUCAUACUAUGGUGGGCCGGUUUAAGGGGAAAGGCAUGAUGAAUAUUUACCUUACAAGGAGUUAAGACCAGGACUUGUAUCCGGUUUAUAUUAGAGAUAGACUAGUCCUAAUCCUAAUAGGACUCCACAUGUAACCCGCCCCUUCAACAUAUAUAAGGAGGGGCAGGGCUCCCAAAGGAGGACAAGCUACAAGCAAGAAGAAUCAAUCUUAGGGCUAGACACAAAGAGGAGGGCCGAUUUAUGGCGACUCCCUCGUGAUGAUAAUGAGACCUAGCCUCAAACAACAUGUAGGGUUGUUACUAGAUGGUGUUUCCCGGGGCCCGAAGCUGUCUAAAUCCCUGUCUUGUGUUGCGUCUCUCGAUUCCGCUCAACCCCUCUCAAGCUACCACAUAGAUGCGUUGGCCUCGCGACUAAGUCCUAACACUAGGACAUCUGCCGUGACAAAUCCACGACACACGGGGACUGUCAAAAUAUCGUGAGUGUUUCUUAGCCUGAACCUCCUUUCACAUUCUCUUGUUUGACACAAAGUUUAUUAUGCCUUGUGUUGAGAAAAUAUGUUGUUGUCUCUGUUUUUUGGUAAUACUGCUUGAACUGACUAUGAUUUGGAAGUUGAACUUUUGCUAUUUGUUUAGGUGGAUCUUAUGCAAGUGUCGCUUUUUAUGUACCUUAACUUAACUAUUUUGGUUAACAUGUUUUUGACUUCAUCUAAUUUUGUUAUUUCUGGCAGAUCAAGAGAUUUGUUGGGUUGCUUGAGGAGGUGUACGGCAAGGCUGCAUACAAAGCGAGCAAGCAGCCUAACUUGGUGACUAUUGCAAAGAGGCCGACCUUCUUCGAUGUUCAGAAGUAGAAGAAUAAUGAUUGUGGUUUCUUUGUCGUGAAAUUCUGCUCUUCAUAUGAUGGCGAUGAGAUUGUAGAAGAUUUUGGUGAUGUGGAAGUAUGUUAUGCCUUUGUUCUUGUCUCAUCAUCCUUUGAUUUUUCUUGUGUGUUUUUGCUGAGAAGCUCCUGCUGUGGUUUUAUAUAUCCGUUACUAAACCAUUGUUUCACCUUUCUUUGUUUGUAGGCUGCUGCAGAUGACUGGAAGGCUGAGUUCAUGCACACUCUGAUUUUUAGCGAGAAGAACAAAGUCAUGCGUUCAGAGCUCCCUAAAGAGAUCCAGUCCUUUGGCCCGUGAAUUCAAAGCAUUAGUUUCAUUGUAGAUUUGAUUUCGCACAGAUUUUUAGGUUUGAUAAUGAUUGGAACAAUUCCGUAAAGAUUUGGUUGUAAGAAUGUUUUAGUGAUUUGUGUAUCUAUAGGUGCGGCACUAUUACUUAUGAUAUUGUGGACAAAUGUAUUUGGUGUGAAGAAUGAUUUGGCUUUGUGAAUUUCAAUGUACUGCGUCGUUUUUCAGUAUCCAUGUGUUGAAUGUUUUUGCCCCAACAGAUGUACCUGAACUUCUCCCUCGGUUUUGGUUGAACUGCUUGAUUUUUUUGUGUUGUUUAUUUUUGGGCCCCAACAUAUGAUCGUAGACUUGAAAUUCUGCUUUGAGAUGUGGCUAGGCUGCUGGUUUCAGAUGGAGAGGAUAUUCUGUGUUGUGUAAUGUAUUGGUAAUUUUCAACCCAACCAAUAUGUAUGCUUUUGCAUAGAAUCUAUAUUUUGUUUUUUGUGUUUUUUCAAGUGCGAAUGUAUUUCAGUUGUAACUUUGUGCAGGAAUAUUGUUGAUGUUUCUUUAUCUUUUGUCGGCAUUGUACAUGAACUUCUGCACGUAUCCAAGCAGAACUUCACAUUUGAACGCGUUGUCUUAGGCUUGCUAACCUUAGUUUAUGCGGUGAAACUUUUUUUAAGCAUGUUUUUUUCCUACAUCGAUUUUAUAUACCAGAACUUGUUCUGUAAGCUGACCUGAACUUCAAAACUGUAUGAUUAUUUGCUAGUUGCUCUUUUAUGGAAUACAACACGAGCACCUCCUGCCAUAAUAUACCAGGACUUUUGCAGUAAGCUUACUUGAACUUCACAAUGUAUGUUUUUCAUGUUUUGUUCUUGCUUGCACUUUCAUGCAAUACAUCACCAGCACAUCACUUCCUCUCAUAACAUACCAAGACUUCUGCAGUAAUAUUACUUGAACUUCACAGUGUAUGUUUUUCAAUUUAUUACUGCUUGCACUUUCAUGCAGUACAUCACCAGCACAUCACUUCCUCUCAUAACAUACCAGGACUUCUGCAGUAAUAUUACUUGAACUUCAUAGUGUAUAUUACCAGGGGAUGACAUAAUGUUCUGCACAUUGACAUGACAUAAGUUUGCAUUGUGUUAAUUGACCUAUUCUAACUGCUCAUCAGCCUUGCGCUCCUCCUAUGCUUUGGUGGUAGAGGUUUUUGCUUGACAUGUACCUCUUCCUCUUCAUCGUCCUCUUCCUCUCCAUUGUCCUCUUCCUCUUCAUUGUCCUCUUCCUCUUCAUCGUCGUCUUCCUCUUCCUCUUCGUCUUCCUCUUCCUCUUCCUCUUCCUCUUCCUCUUUGUAUUCCUCUUCUUCGGCGGUGUCUUCAUCUUCGUAUUCCUCUUCAUCUUCCACAACUUUCUUAUCGAUGGCUCUAGGUUUUGCUUUAUGUUUCUUCUUUGUCUUUUUGCUUGUAUUUUCAGCAUCUGCCCGCUUCGGGCAUGUUCUUGCAUUAUGUGGUUCAUACUUCUUGCAUAUGCUACAAAGUCUGCUGCUUGCUUUCUUUGGGUGUGGCCCUUCUUUUGUUCCAUAACUUUGGGCUGCUGUUUUUGAGAUUUGGGUUGCUUGACCUCCUCAUCAUUGUUUCUUUCCAAGAGUGUUGGACAGGUCAGCUUGUUGUGUCCCGCAACCUAGUUGCACACACUGCAUUUCCUGUGUCCAAGUGGCACUCCAUUCUCAUCGAGCACAAUGACUCUUCCUGUAGGUGGUUCCUUUAUUUGAGCUCUCUUGUCACUUUUCUUUGCUGCAGUAAGUUUCCUCCUACCCUUUGUUUCAGAAUACAGUGGUAGUUUCAUCGUCUCUUGCUGUCGCUGCUCCAUUGAUUGGCCAUCACCCUGCUUGCAUUGGUUGGCUUCAAUGGCGGCGUUGAGCAUUUCAGCUGCAUAAUAACGAAGGUCAUCUUCAAUUUUAGCGUCCUCUUCAGCCAUCCUUUCGUCAGCAUCUGCUUGAUUUGCUGAAUGUAUUGAAUCAAGCUCUUCCACGAGCCUCUUGAGAACAUAGUAGCACUACAAAAAAUACACUUCCGUGAUGAUACAUGUUUGUCACAGUAGGUUGCGUUUUUUGUCAUGCAUGUACAUCCAUGACGAUUUUAUGAGAGAAUCAAGAUAGUCAUACCUGUGCUGUCGUAGAAGUGUUCCAUGACAUUACCAAAAUUAUCAUCACAGAAGUGUCCACUUCCAUGACGAUAAAUCCCGCGUCACAGAAGUGCUUUCGUCAAGGGUGACCGACACGUGGCAUCCACUGUAACGGAACACCGUUAAGCUAUCGGGUCAGGUUUUGGAUCCGAUAACCCAUUAAUAGCCCCGCCAAUGGGGAUUUUCCACGUGUAAAAUCAUCAUUGGCUGGAGGAAACACGUGUCGGCUCAUCGUUGGGGUAGAUGUCAUCCACUCAUUGGACAGAAGGCGCCUAUGAUACGUCGACAUGUGGCACAGCCCAACAGAGGCCCAUUCCUGUGAUAAGGCCGGCCCUGUUUGACUUGGUCAAAAGGUGGCGGGCCGUCCCAUGUAAAGCCUGUUAACGGCAUGUUCGCAUAUAGCCCAUUUACAGCCUGCUAACCCAAGGCCCGUUAUGCCCUAUCCGAAUUAGGCCCAGUAGCGUCAUCUCGGCCACCCAAUAUGAUUCCAGUUCUGGCCCAUGUAUGGCCCAUGACGUCUUUUGGCCCAUAUGAGGCCCUAUGUAACUCUUGGCCUAUUAACGCCCCGUGGUGAAACUGGCCCGUAAUGAACAGUGUAUCACUUUACACCCAUUAACGGCCCGUGGUGAAACUGGCCCGUAAUGAACAUUGUAUCACUUUAUACCCAUUAAUGGCCCGUUAUUCCGUUGGGCCGUUUCCAUCCCAUGUUAUCUUUCGGCCUUCUCAGAGCCCAAUUAUUCUUGGGCUCAUUUCCAGCAUUCGUUUACUUAUGGCCCGUUAUUGUCAUUUUCUGCUUGUGGGCCAAAUUCAGCCCAUGGUUACAGUCGGCCCGUUUGUGGUCCAUUAAUACGUUGGGCCAUUUUCAUAGCGUCAUCAAAUACGGCCUAUUAAUGAUGGCCCAUUAUGGUUGGCCCAUGAACGUACGAUUCCAACUCUAGCCUGUUUAUGGCCAUAAUGCGGCUUGUUAUUGGCCCAUGUUUGGCCAAUCGGUCAUACUGCCCGUAUAAGGCCCAUUGAUGAUACGGCCCAUAGAAGGCCCAUUGUUUCAACGGCCCGUAGAAGGCCCAUUGUUUCUACGGCCCGUAGAAGGCCCAUUGUUUCUACGGCCCAUAGAAGGCCCACUGUUUCUACGGCCUGUAGGAGGCCCAGUGUCACCACAGUAAAUAUCAGUCCAUGGUUAUUGUGGCCUAGUUUUAAAAAAUAGGUUAUUGCAGCCACUAGCAAACUGUGCAAAAAGAACUGCAAUGACUACAAGCAAACAAAUAAACAAGACAACAAGGAAAUAAAUAAGAAAGCAACUUACGCUAGGCUAUCACGGCUAUCACACAUAUUACAUCCACUGGGCAUCAAUGUUCGCCACCAGUGCAAAUAAAUGCGCCGACACAAGAAUAUACAAAACUGAGAGCACUUCAGAAGGCACUAGGCCUGGCCAGGUCGGCCCCCCCCCCAAACAGAUGAAGAAGCUGAGUAGAACUCAGUUGUGUCAACGAUAGAUGCAUCAACACUAGAUUUAAGGCAUGAUGGUGCGCACGGCGGUCCUCUGACAUCUUCAUUGCAUCUUUGACUUCAAGUCGGAGCUGAGCUGAAGCAAGCCUUUCUGCUUUAAGUUGAGACUGAAGAAGUCGAACAGAUUGAGGCAGCGACUGCACAGAGGUUGUCUCACACCUGCUAGUGAGUAGCUUCAACUCACUGUCUUCAUCGAGAUAGGACCUUGGGGUCAUCUCGCUGUCCUCAAGAUGGUUUGGCUCACUAUCUUCCCUAAAGUUCUUCCUAGCGUAAGAGAUACGAGUCUGAAAGAGAAACAAGGAGACACGUAACAGGUUUCACAAUUAUAUAAGCAAAUAAAUGGAUCUGUUCUACUUAAGGAACAUGUUUUUAAAACUACAAUUUGAAACUAGUAGUUGUUGCAAACAUCCAAUCAGAUGUAAACAGCAAUGCAAACAUCAGUGGAGGAAAUUAUGCCUAUCCAAAUCUAUACUAGAACAAAGUUUGAAGGCUUGAGAAGGAUGAACUUACGUUACAUGUUAACACGGGCUGGACAAAGCCCUUCUCCAUGUUGAUGGAAGGAUAAUUCAAUAAAUUCCCCAAAGAAAAUUCUUUAUAAGCACUGCCAUUAUUCUACAUUUUGCAAAGAGUAAAUAUAGAUCAAAUAAUAUUGGAAGAAACAGAGGAUAAUGAAGCUCAGGUGCAGACUGAUGAUACAUAAUCAAAUAGCAAUUAAUUAAGUACAGCGUUACAAGGCAAAAGGGAGAGAGGUACUGACAAGAGCAAUGAAGAGCCCAUUAUUGUUUUGAGAUCGUAUGAUCGUUUGAGCAAGGAGAUUCAUCUGAAAUUAGUUUUCAUACAAGAGAGAAGGUAAGGCACAAGCAGAAAUUUAGGAGUUCAAAUUUUGAAUUGAUAUCAUAGACAGUACCUGACGCUGGGCUCCCAGUUGUUCUAAUAGGGGUUUGGCCACUGGAGUAGGGGUAAAGUGUGGUACAGUUGGGCCUGUGUUUUCUGUGGCUGCUGAUCUAUCGGAUUUAACAUGUAUCACUAGCUUUUCCAAAUACCUAGUUUGUACUCCUUGAGGAUUUGCACUCGCCCUCUUAGUUUUGGACAUCUAUUACGAAAGAACAACAUUUGACUGGAAAAACAUAGUGUGACGACACAUGGAAUAGAUACAUAAAAUGGAUAGGUAUGGCAUAUACUCAUGCAUGAUGCUUAAACUAAGCAGAUGGUGUAACAAAGUAGAAGUAAUGCAAGAGGUCAAAUGCAAAAUAUGUGCGACCAAUACAACUUUGCAAAGUUAGAGCAAGCACCUUGAUGGGUGAAUAAGAUAGGCCAUCCUCCACCAUGCCAAGUUUGUUAGCCAGUGGAUCGUUCGGCAAUAUUCCUCUCGUGCGCCCAUUCUCAUAUUCAUUUUGAUAAUGUUCAAUAUCUGACAUGCAUGAAAACAUAAAAACAAGUGAGAUUUUCUUUAUAAUGUAGAAGUGAUUCUAAUCCAAUACUGCCUCCCUAUAAACCCCUUUGUGCUAUCUCUGCAAUUCUUUUAAAAGAUGCCAUGCAUGCUGUAAUUUGUUGUGUGCAUUAAUAUAAUGUGGCCUACUACUCAAAAUAUGAGAGCUCCAGAAGUGAUGACACUUCACAGAUGAUAGCUUCAACAUAUAGUAAAGAAGAACUAGUCGACCUAACCUGACAGAUUCAAAAUAUACUAAGGGAGAACAACUCGACCUGACCAGUCGACCACAAGAGAAGAGUAUCAUCUUAAAGACGAGCAUAAGAGCAAGCAGAUUGAAGAUAUUACAAGUCUUUCAAUACAAUGUCAGUUGGCCACCCAUGAUGAACCAGAGCGCAUAGAGAAAUACUAUUCUUUCCAGUCUCUCCAUAUGUGGCUCCCAUGCAUUUCAAAACUAAAGUAGGAACAUUUAACUAACCAAUUAAACAUCUCUCAAUUUUACUAAUAUCAGCAAUAAUAUCAGAUAUGAAUUUGUACAACUAAGCUUGUUUAGCUCGAUGGGUGGAGCAGUGCUAUUACGACACGAACCACAUAGGCUGACUAUGGUCAUCAUAAAAUGGGGAAAACAUAAGCAUGAUGAGUACAGUGUUGACCGUGGCAGUGGGAUGGCAGAUCUGAAGCUGCAAACCGCGCAAAGGGUAGUUAGCAACCGAUGUUUGCUUUGAAAUAACAACUAAGAUUUGGUAUGGAAAAGAAAGUACGGUCAACAAGUGACAAAGAAAUGCAAUUAUGUUGUCUCUCUAUAUGUCGCGACAUGCAUUUGGAAACUCAAGUGGGACCUUUAGCUAACCAAUUAAAUGUGUCGGUUAACUAAUAACAGUAUCAUAUCACAAUCAUAUUUGAACAACUAAGCUUUCGAAUUCUGAGUGUUGUGUUGUUUAGCUUGAAGGGUGGAGUAAUGCUAGUACGACAGAAAGCACCUACGCAGAUCAUAGUAGAGUACUCCCUCCAUUCGGAAUUACUUGUCGCAGAAAUGGAUUUAUCUAGACGUAUUUUAGUUCUAGAUACAUCCAUUUCCAAGACAAGUAAUUCCGAAUGGAGGGAGUAGAUAAAAGGGGAAAACCCUUAGCAUCAAGAGAAAAAUCAGGAAAGUGGAACUAGCUGGACCAGUGGGUGGCGCACAUGCUCUUCGAAAUGAAUAUAGGAACACUAGGUGACCAAUUAAACGUUCUCUGUUUUAGUGAUAUGAGCAUCAUAUCAGAUUCGUAUUUCAACACGUAAGCUUUGGGUUAAGGUCUUGAGGAGCAGUGCUAGCACGACACGAAGCACCCACGAUGAUGGUAGUGAAUAUAAAGGGGGGAAACCAUAAGCUUUACGAGUAUAGUGCCCGUGCCAUGGCGGAUCUGAAGGUGCAAACUGGACAAAGCUACUUCGCAACCAAUGUUUGCUUUCAACUAGCCACUACGAUUUGGUACGGACAAGAAAAGUAUAGUAAACAAAUUACGAUCUAUUUUCCGGGUGAGAUCAAUAACUUAAGCACAUAUGAAAGGGCACCACCUAUCUUGCAACGCCGUGUAGGCCUAUGCUGAUACGUUGAGGGUGUUGUGGGUGCGAUGGCUAUCGACAGCGGGGAAGAAGACUUUAGACGGCAGACGGCCGGGUCGGGGGAUAUAUCCUGUUGCCGUGGAUGAGGCGGUCGUAGGAGCGGCAAUGGCAAGGUGGAUGACGGCGCCGAUGAAGCAAGAGGAGGCGAUGAAAGGAUCCUGGUCCAGCGCCGUGGAUGAGAGAUGUCCAUCUCUUGCAGUGGACGACAGGGUAGGGGUAGCGGCUCCGGCAAAGUGGAGGAUGGGGUGGCGGACGGAGGAGGCUGGCCGCAGUGCGGAGGUUGUCCUGUUGCCGACGGUGUAUGAAUGGGGAAAUGGAGGGGAGGGGGGAUCUCAAACUUUGGGACGCGCUUCUCUGAAAUGGGGGAAAGUUACGAACUUAUCCCGCGUUUAAAAUUUCGGACAUCGCGUCGGUUGGGGAUAGGACGGUAAUAUCGCAUAUCCAAAAUAUUUGCCGGUAACUAUUUCGGGCAAGGAGAGGGUGUUUUUCCGCCCACGGUUGGCGCCCACGGUGUAUGAACGGGGCUGACAGGUAGGGUGGUUGUGUCACGUCUGAUGGAAGUCACACAUCUACCCCUAUUUAAAAUAUUAGCCUACAUGGAUUUCGGACGAGGAGAGUUUGUUUUGCCGCCCAUCGUGUAUGAAUGGGGAAAUGGAGGAAGAGACACAUGUCUUUCGGACGAGCUUGAAUCAAAUGUGUUUUGCCGCCCACGUUUGGCGCCCACCGUGUCUGAAUGGGCUCAGAGGCCGUCGUGUCACGUCUGAUUGAAGUUACUUGUCUACCCCUAUCGACGGCAGUGUAAAUCCGGUCGAUAAGGAUGUCAAGUGUCGGGGGUAGACAGUAAUUUCCAUCUCGCAAACAUUUGCUUCGGGCAGCCCACAAAUUAUAGUGGGUGUUUAGCCGCUUCAUUCAAAACUUGAGAGAAUUAGCAUUCACGUUUUCCCUGGGACCUGGCAAACUAAAUUCAAAUCCAAUUUGUAUUCGAUUAUGAAUAUCCAUAGAUAAUUAUACGUUUUGUUAUUUGUUUCUUCAAAACCACAACAAAGGUUUAUUCCACCUUUAUAUAUGAUUAUGAUUUAGAAAUGUCGUGAUCUUCGAAUUCAGUAGGUUGGAUACACUCUGAGUCAAAAAGUUAUUUCAUCCAAUACAAUAUGCUCACACGAAAAACAAUUCACCUUAUGUCAAUCAUACAAGUACUGAGGAUUACCUCGCCUAAAAAAUUCGGAUCAUUACAACACAUGGACAACAUAGGGGGUCUUGCAACAUAAUCCAUUCAGAGACAUGACACAACAUGCAAGUACAAUAAUCUAAUGACAAUUUCAACUGGUAUCUAAAGAAGAACCGGGAUUACCUUGGGCUUCAGAUAGCAGAAACAGCAGGACCUCCUCCGUCUUCAAAUGCAACAUUCUUACUUCCUCCAAUUCUUGGGUUGCUUGCAUAAUGCGUGCCGCUAAUUCUGUAAUUUCCAGCCUCAAGAUAAAGAUUACCUCAUUCAUGGCAGCCACACCAUCUCUUUCUGCCUCUAGUAGAGCCUCAAGCACUAUAAUAUAUGUGCUCAGACUGCUCUCUGGCGGUGUUGCCUCUGAACUGCUACCAUCUGGUAACAUGGAUGGCGCACUGCUUCCACAAAUAGAUUCUGGGGUUGUACAUUGUGUCCUAGUGUGAACGGCAUCCUAAAAGGUUUCCGCUAGACAUCAGUAAGAGAUAGUUAUCGUAUGAUCCAGGCAGUAAGCUUACAUGGUAAACGACGGACGAAUUAUUGCCGAGCAUGGCAAACUAUAUUUAAAUGGUUCGAAGCAGCAUCAGCCGAAAAGAAAUUAAAAUGGUAAGAUGAAACUAGGGAUGUAAGUGGCAAAUAAUCGACAUCCGCCAGUCCCAUCUAGUAAGUUUUUGCUACCUCCCUAGUUCAUUUUCCUCAAAAAACAAAAACUCUUUUGAACUAUCAUACCACUAGUGGACUUUAAUCAGGAUUAAACGAGACCCAAUUGACAUCCCUAGUUGAAAGGGAGUGUACAACUGCUAUAUUUAAGUUGCCAAGGCAUCUAAGCAGUUGAAAUAAUCUGAGAAAGCACUUAACAGUGUGGCCUCAUAUAAACUACGAAUACAGUCUUGUGAUGAAGUUGAGAGGAAAAGUUAAGGACUCAAAUGAAAUAGGCAUGCAUUUCUUUACGAUAGUACAGCAGGCACUGCUGACAUAUUGGCCAACUCAGGUAUAGCGUAACAACAAAUAAGCAUUCGAAUCAAGCAAUACAGCAAAGGAGACAACUGAAUUAUUUGUAAUUCGGUAGGAUUACACGUUGAGGGCAUAAGCCAAGAAAGAAGCCCACUCGCAUUACAUUUCACAUGUACUAAAACACACUAGCUUACCAUAUGUUGUUGUGAAGCCUAGCUGCUGUUGCAAUGUUCUUUGAAGAUAUCGUCAGCAUCUCGUGAUUGCAAAUCUAGUUGUUGUAGUUUAUCCUGCACCAUCUAUUUAGGUAAAAUUAAUUUUAAUCGCAUGCACUGGUCCGAAUUGAUCAUCAAUGGUUCAUCUAAACUAAUGAAAGAAGGGUGUGUGCAUACACGCCAAUAUAUCUGCUUCCCUCUAUUUUUAUGCUUGUUCGAGGUGCCAGCCCCAAAAGAACGAAUAUUAUGCUUGAUGGGGUUGGCAGCUCCAUAAUUAAUAGAAGCAUAAAAUUAGUCAUGCAACUUGGGAAGAUCAAGAACACACAAACAAGUAAUGAACAGAGGCUCAGAGCAGUGAUGUAAUAGCUAGCAUCAGAAAAUGUAGGGUAAAACAAACAAAAAGCAGCGGAACCACAUGCUAGUUUGCUGAUGUGUAAUUAAGCAUAGAGAACAUUAAGCAGUCUGAUGGAACCAAUAGGUGGCAUCAGAACAAAACUAAAGCAUAUUAACUAUAUGUGCACUGGUAUGUAAUUUAGCACAUGUAACAUGUUCACUGCCAGAAGUAUGGCCCUACAGGUGCAAGCAGAAUAACGCAUAUCAUGAAAAACUGAAUGAUGCCCUGAAGAAAUUCAAAGGUGCGGUGCUUAUGCUAGGAAAGUGAAUGUAGGCGUCGGGCGUUGGAUAUUAGUACCUGAUUCUCGGCGGCGUAUGGGUAUCGUUGUCAUACUUGAUAGCUAAGGAUCGUCGAUGGUGCUCGUGUUGCGGUUGAGUUUGGGUCGGCUGUCGCCGUCGCUAAAGCGGCUCCGGUGUUACGGUUGCGGCGCCUAUUGACAUACAAGAAAGCUCAUCUGUGGUAAGUGAACAGUUGCACGAUAAAGAGAAAAACUGAAGGAGUACAAAUCGAAAUAACCUGAUGAGGCUGCAGCAUCGGUAAAGCAGGGCCGGUGGAUUUGAAUAUGGCGUCUGUGGCGCGGGUCUGGUGCAGUGGACGAAGGCUUCGGCGGGCGCGUUGUACAGUGCUUUCGGUGAGGCGGAUCUGUUGCGGCGGACGAGGGCUUGUAUGAAGGGCCAGUGCAGGGGCGGACGAGGGAGUUAGUUAAGGGCCUACGCUGUGGUGGACAAGGGCGUCGGUUAAGCAGAUCCACUGAAGUGGACCAUGAUGGCGGUCAAGGAGAUCUGAAGCGGUGGACAAGCCAGUCGCUGAAGCGGCUCCGGUGAAGUGGUGAGUUGGCAGUUGGGGGUUCCAAGGUGCGGAAGGUAGAUCCGAUGGGGUGUGAGGUCCACCGCUGCAGCGGAGGACUAGAUUCGGCGGCUUGCCGUGGUUGGGGAGGUCGGGGAGGGGAGGGGCUCUGGGGAAGAAUGUUGGGGGCAAAGAGGGGAAAACAAUGGAGUUACCAAAGCAGCCCUUUUCCGUUCAUGUGGCAGGGGUAAAAUAGGAUAUCGCAGGGCUAAACUUUCGGGCGUGUGAUAUUUUAAUGUGAGCGGGAAGUUUCAAAGCUUUUGGCGCCUAAAAUUAUAAGUAUUCUGCUCUCGUACGGCCGACUAUGAUAUCUUGGCCGACAAUUUGUUUGUUUUGCACGCAAAAAAAUGUGCAAGUUUUGAAAAUCAAUGUCUCCAACUCGAAACUUAGAUUGGCCAUUCAAUUCAAAUAUGGAUCAAUGAGCUACUACAAGCAAAUACCAUCAUACGGUCCAAUUCAAAUGAAAUUCCAAAUGUGUUUAUCCUAAAUAUGAUGACAAAAGCAAAACUGUGUAUGUGUAUGAAUAAAGUGGAUGAUUAUAAAGUUUGAACAUGCUUGUAUGUGUAUAUCUCUAGGUUUGAUAUAUGAAUUUGAAAUCACGAAAUCCCCGCUUAAAAAUGUACCUCAGUUUAAAUGAAUUACAAAAGCUAAUGAUGGAGUCGAAUUCCAGAAUUCCAAUAUUAGGUUUGUAAUUCUAGUACAUCAAGGUAUAUCACGCAUGUUCAAAAGUAUCGUUAUCUCAUAGUACAAACUGUGAAACAAAUUGAUCAACCAUGAGUGCACAAUAUCUCAAUUACGCUAAAGUCCCUCAAAUAUAGAUACCUCACUCUUUAUCUUAAGUCAACCCCCCCACCACACACACACACAUAGAGAAGUCGUUCUCUCCCCAAAACACCAACACACGAGCACAUUAACACCCCUCUCUCUUGUAAAGUCCGGACCCCAACAUAGGUCUCUAUCACUUUGUCUCUCGGGCAUGCACACAUCUCUUCCCUCACUCUCUAGGUCUCCCGCUAUCUCUCUUACCCAAGCACACACACUAUGUAGAGUGUAUAUUUCCCAUACAAACAAAACGUCGCCCUCAAACAUCCCUCAAACGUCUAUCUCCCUUGUUAUGUGGUUCUCGCACACUCAUCUCACACACCACCCCCACUGCAAACAAGCACACUUUGUCUCCUUUUGCACCACUCUCCUCUUUCUAUCUCUCCCACAUGCGGCCCGCCCCAACUCCUUCCCUGUAUACAUAUAUGUCGUGACUCUUUGCAUAGCUCCCUAAUGUAUAAUUGUUCUUGAUUUCGCACAUUGUUCUCUACACCAUCUGUUCUAGAUCUCUCAUGAAGUCCCUAUCACACACACGAUGACUUGCUUCCCUUGCGUCUCCGUUCAUAGGCCAAUUUCGGACAACAUCAACAUUGUCUCCCUAUCUAUACGCAAUUUAUGGACACAAACGACCCCUCUCGCCCCUCUCUUCCUCUCUCUCUCUCUCUCUGUCGCUAGCUCUCUCUUUCUCUCGCUCUCACACCCCUCUCCCACACACACACUCGAUGUCUCUUCCAAAUAGUCUGCUCCCCCCGCCCGCACCCGUGCUAUCUCGCUACUACACAUGUCACACCAUUCCCCCUUCCCUUAUACUAGGUUUACAUCAUCAGUGGUCUCUCUACUCCACAUACACUCUCUCCCUCUCACACACAAACGCGUGCACAAACACACACAGACACGCACAAACACCCAUUUAUCUGGAUCCUCAUCUCUCCUCAUGUCCGCAUGUGUAUCUCACACAUUCACUCUCUAAUUAUGUAUAUGUGUCUCCAUGUUACACAACACAAAGCCCCAUCUACAUGUAUCUCUCUAUCCUCCACACACAUAGACACAAAGAAUCUGUUAUCAUUGCCUCAGUCUCUAACAUAUCACAUGCACACACUCUCUCUCUCUCGCAAACAUGCUCAACAAGGGUUUCCCCUUGAAUAACUUGCUGUCUAUUCAUCAACAGUCGUGGCAGUACGGCGAACACGAGACAUGAAAAAGAAUAAAUCUACAUGUGCUUAGACCACCUAGUAUUACUACUAGGACUAGAGCAAGCCAAAAAGCGCGCCGCCGUCACCCCCUCCUUGUCGGCGAUGGGAAAAUCUUUGUUUUACACAGUCGAUAAGUCAUUGUGCUAAGGCCCACAUGCCGAGGCAUUGAAUAGAAUGUAGAUGCUAGUUUACGGAAGCAAGUAUCGAUAAUACAUUUGUAUCUCCAUACUUGUAUUUCUUCUCUUAUAAAAACCGAGUUGGUGACGAUGGUACGUGUGCCAUCUUGCAAUAUAGACCGUCUGAUCUAUAUCUGACGGAUGGAAAUUAAACUAAAAGAUACCCGCACCCCUCUCCAUAUUUGCAGACAAGGCCUUCCCUAGUUCAUCCUUAUCUCCAACAAACCUCAUUGUUGAGCAAUUAAGAAAGGAAGCCUCUGGAACAAACUGGCCUGGUGGCCGCUGCCGGCGUCGUCAAUCCCCAUGCCUCCGCUCAGUCCGACCACCAACCACCACCAAACCCCACUCCUCUUCACCUUAUCUCAUAUUUCUCGAGAUAUCAUUAGUUUUUACACAUGGAUUACUCCCGCAAGGGUCAAUCACAACAAGUGUUUUAUAAAAAAAUGCAUCUUGAUGUUCCAUGCAAUGCACGGAUCUUGCUUGUACUCCUACACAAGACUAAGUUGGUGAUGUUGGUGUGUCUGCCAUCACUACAAAAAAAAUACACUUCAUUGAUGAUACGUGUUUGUCACAGUAGGUCACUUUUUUUGUCAUGCAUGUACAUCCAUGACAAAUUUAUGACAGAAUCAAGAUAGUCAUACAUGUGCUAUCAUAGAAGUGUUCCAUGACAUUACCAAAAUUAUUAUCACGGAAGUGUCCACUUCCAUGACGAUAAAUCGCGUGUCACAGAAGUGCUUUCAUCAAGGGUGACUGACACGUGGCAUCCACCGUAAUGGAACGUCGUUAAGCUAUCGGGUCGGGUUUUGGAUCCGAUAACCCGUUAACAGCCACGACCAGUGGGGAUUUUCCACGUGUAAAAUCAUCAUUGGCUGGAGGAAACACAUGUCGGAUCAUUGUUGGGACAGAUGUCAACCACUCAUUGGACGGAAGGCGCCUAUGAUACAACGACAUGUGGCACGGCCCAACAGAGGCCCAUUCCUGUGAAAAGGCCGCCCUGUUUGACUUGGUCAAAAGGUGGCGGGCCGCCCUAUGGAAAGCCUGUUAACGGCAUGUUCGCAUAUAGCCCAUUUACAGCCCGCUAACCCAAGGCCCGUUUCGCCCUAUCCGAAUUAGGCCCAGUAGCAUCAUCUGGGCCAUCCAAUAUGAUUCCAGCCUGUUUUCACUUCUGGCCCAUGUAUGGCCCAUGACGUCUUUCGGCCCAUGUGAGGCCCUAUGUAACUCUUGGCCUAUUAAGGGCCCGUGGUGAAACUGGCCCGUAAUGAACAGUGUAUCACUUUACACCCAUUAACGGCCCGUGGUGAAACUGGCCCGUAAUGAACAAUGUAUCACUUUAUACCCAUUAAUGGCUCGUUAUUCCAUUGGGCCGUUUCCAGCCCAUGUUAUCUUUCGGCCUUCUCAGAGCCCAUUUAUUCUUGGGCUCAUUUCUAGCAUUCGUUUACUUACGGUCUGUUACUGUCAUUUUCUGCUUGUGGGCCAAAUUCAGCCCGUGGUUACAGUCGGCCCGUUUGUGGUCCGUUAAUACGUUGGGACGUUUUCAUAGCGUCAUCAAAUACGGCCUAUUAAUGAUGGCCCGUUACGGUCGGCCCAUGAACGGACGAUUCCAACUCUAGCCCGUUUACGGCCAUAAUGCGGCCUGUUAUUGGCCCAUUGUUUCUACGACCCGUAGAAGGCCCAUUGUUUCUACGGCCCGUAGAAGGCCCAUUGUUUCUACGGCCCGUAGAAGGCCCACUGUUUCUACGGCCUAUAGAAGGCCCACUGUUUCUACGGCCCGUAGAAGGCCCACAAUUUCUACGGCCCGUAGAAGGCCCACUGUUUCUACGGCCCGUAGAAGGCCCACUGUUUCUACGGCCCGUAGGAGGCCCAGUGUCACUACAGUAAAUAUUAGCCCAUGGUUAUUGUGGCCUAGUUUUAAAAAAUAGGUUAUUGCAGCCGCUAGUUAACGGCGGAAAAAGAACUGCAAUGAUUACAAGCAAACAAAUAAACAAGACAACAAGGAAAUAAAUAAGCAAGCAACUAACGCUAGGCUAUCACGACUAUUACACAUAUUACAUCCACUAGGCAUCAAAGUUUGCCACCAAUGCAAAUAUAGGGAACAAAGCAGCAUAUCAUAUACACUGGCCAUCAAAAUUGGCCACCAGUGCAAAUAAAUGCGGCAGCAAAACAAGAGCAUAACUGAAAAAACUUCAGAAGAGCUCAAGAAACGUUAUCCUGGGUAUCCACCAUGCUGGCAAUAAGCUUAGCAAGCUGAUUAGCUUUGUCCUGUUUGGCACUAAAAUCCUCCAAUGCUUGCUGUUGCACCAGAAAGUAUGCAUCUGAAUGCUCCAGAGACUUCCGCAGUCCUUCUGCUUCUUGUCGCAGCAUAGCUGAUCGAUGUCUUUCAGCUUGUAGUUGAGACUCAAGAAACCGAACUGAUUCAGACAAUGAGUUUGAAUAGCCUGUGCAAGCGGUAGUGGCUAGUAACUCCAACACUAAACCAAGACAGGAUGUGUCACUAUCCUGAACCUUAUCUGCAUUACUUCCUUUACCGUUGCUUAAUAAGGCACUCUUCCCCAAUAUUCUGUCAGCAUUCUAAAAGAAGAAACAAGCAGACACAUAACUAAUUUAGCAUGUACUAGUAUAUGAAACUCAUUUCGGUGAACCAGUUCAUUAGUAAGGUGGACAGGAUUAAACUACCAAGUCUUCUAUUACCAAGUACUAGUACAUAAUAAAAGCAUUAAACAAACAUAUAUCUAUGUCCUAUGGUAGCAAUGGAAUCUUAAAUUAGAACAGUUGUUCUUCAGGUUUAGGCACUUGUUCUACAUGAACAGAGUACAGUAAGACGCAAGAAUAUAAUACUUAAAAUAGAAAAUGAGCUCAUAGACCUUACCACAUUCUUGGGGGACCAGUACAGAACAAGGCGUUCCCAGUCAUCGUCCAGUAAAUGUGUCUCAGGAGAACGUAAGGGAAUUUGAUGAGUUUCUUUACCGGUGAAGUACGUUUUCUUCAGGUAAUUCCGAUACUGCCACCAAGCAUUCUUGAAGAUAGCAGAGGUAUUAGCACAGGUUACCUCAUCGUGAGUUUCCAAAUCGGUCCUUCUCUAUAGAGAAAAAUGGGAAUAAUUUGUUGUGUUAUAACCAUCAUGGAGGUAGGAUGUAUGGGACGAAGCAAAGUAAUUGCCAUGAAUAACAUUACUUACACAUAACUCCUGGACAAACACCUGCAACUGGCAUUUUCCUUCAUCUUCAGUAUAAUAUUUCCAAGAUGGGAAGAUACGCACAUACGAUUUAACAACAUCAAAUGCGAUAGAUGCUAAACUACGACUAGCUGGUUGUGCUUCCUCCACAGGAAUAGGCGUACUAACUGGUGGAGUUGGGGUUCGCCGUGAUAGUACUGGCCCUAUGGGCACUGGAGCUGCCUUACUAACUGCUCUUGUUUGGGAGCUCUGUGGUGGAGAUGGUGAUGUGUCAACAGGAACUGAGUUGCUAUCGGCUAGGGUUGGGGUUAGAUUGGGUGAAGCUGGUUCUCUGUUCAUCGUAGUAGGGGUACAAUCUACGAGAGUUUGGGUUAUGUGUGGUAGGGCUGGUUCUUGUGCAUGUACAACCGGGGUGCUAUCUCCAGCAAGAGGUAGCACUGUUUUAUUUGAAGACCGUGUUUUUAGUCCGCUAGAUACUGGCAUCACCCGCUCCAAUUCAAAUGGCUGAUAAACAGGAAACAUAGUUGAAUGUACAGACAUUGUAUGCGAGACAUAUGCAAUAGAUAGUGUGGAAAAAAUAGGGCAUGAAAUAGUUGACAUGUAUAUUGUUUAACUAAAAUGGAUAGCAUGACAUAAUUUCACAGAUAUGAUGUCUAUCUAAACUGGAUAGCAUAGCAUAACAUAAUUCAAAGAUAUGAUGAAUAACUAAACAGGAUCGCAUGACAUAAUUCACCUACAUGUUAUCUAAGUAAUCAGGAUCGCAUCAUUUAAUUCACAUAUGUGAUUUAUAUGCUAAACAGAGGGCAUUCGAUAUGAUGUCUGAAUUAAGAACAUGGUGUUGAAUAUUGUGUAUAUGAUGUCUAAACUAUGCAAUGCAAGACACCGUAUGCAUGAUAUCAGCAGUAUAACCGUGCCAAGUUAGAGCAUACACCUCAGUGGGGGAAUAGGACUGGUCAUCUGUCUCUGAAUCCAUCUCUGAGAAGCUAUCGGGACCCAACAAGAGAUCUGCUUCGACAUGUAGCACUGUCUGCUCUGAAGGCCUUGUUUUCACUCCAGAUUUUUUCCAUCUCCCACCCAAAUGGCUGAUUCAUAGGAAGAGUAGUUUAAUGUACAAACAUUGUCGACAAAUGGAAAUGUAAUGAAGAAAAGGAUGGGCAAGAUAUCAUUCAUAUAUAUGAUGCCUGGUUAAACAGGAUGGCAUUGCACAUUUCACAUAUAUUAUGGCUGGCUAAAAGACAUGAGACUGCAUAAUUCCCAUAUAUGAUAUAGAAACUAAACAGGCGGCAUUACAGAACAUGUCUAAACUAAGCAGAUGACAUAUAUGAUGUUAAAAGUAGGCACUGCAAGGCAACAUAUGCAUGAUAUGACUAACAUCAUCAUGCCAAGGUAGAGAAAACACCUUGAGGGGUAAAUAGGAGUGGUCAACAGCGUCCGAAUCCGCCUCAGAACAGAUAUCUUCCUCUGGAUUACAAUCUGGAGAGGGGUGGGGAGGGUUUGCCAUUGAACCCACCAUCGAGCGAUGUCUGCAUGACAUUGUAUUGCCGCGCAAAACUCUUCUCUUUUUCUCUACAUGUUCAGCAUGACUGUGUACAAUAUCUGACAUGCAUACGAAAAAAAUAUGGUGAGAUUAUGUAAGGAGAGCAUGCAGAAAUUUAGAGUGAUGGUAACAACCAGUGGAUCGAUGUUUUUCCGUUGAACCAAAAUAGCCCUAAUGGAUCGACGUGAAUGUAUAGUAAUAAGUGAUGCAACAAGUGUACAAGCUCUUUGCCGUAGCCGUGUCGACCUCAGCGUCGUUGGGUUGGUCGCUGAAGCAGUUGAGGCAGAGGUGGCUGUCGGAGGUGUGGAGGAAGAUCUGAGGAAUCUGUAGAGGGCGUCCAGGGCACUGCUCUAUUGUGAAUCAUUCUAUCGUUGGAGCAGCUCCGAUGAGCCGUAAGACGUCAAGGCUGAAGCAGCACAAGACAGACAUCGUCAAUCUCAAGUGGGAUUCUAAUAGCAUCUCCAAUAGAUGAUGUAAAAUGGAUGUAAAAUUAACAUCACCAAAAACCACCUGACUACAACAGAUGAGGUAAAAACUGUUGACUAUGAACUUAACUGUCGAAAUUGAAAUUUACUGUGGAAUCUGAAUGCUACUGUCGAAACUGAAUGCAAUGGUAGCAGAGAGGCACUUGACAUGUAGUUUAGGGAGGGUCUGAAGUUCAUCUUCAACCUGCACCCCCCCUGAGCCGCCAGCCACCACCGGCCGAACCGCCGGCCCCAGCGCCGCCUCGCUGCCCCGAAACAACUCGCCACCGCCGCACCGGCCAGCCCUCUAGGCCCCCCGACCCUGAACCCUAAGAUAGAUAGUGGGGUACCUCUCCGGCGAGCCCCCGUCCCCGCUGCGGGUGGUUCUUCCUUAACUCCGGCGAGCCCCCCAACCCCUGAAAAUCGACUGACCCAAAAGUCGAUUCUGUCAACUGAAGUGUCGCUUAAUCGGAGCAGAGCAGCAGCACGAGCGAGGGGGAGAGCAGCAGCAGCAGCUGUGCGAGCGAGCGAUCGAGCGAGAGCCGGAGCAGCAGCAGCAGAUCCGGCUGGUAUGGACGCCGCCACCGAAGGGGCCUCGCACUGGGGGAGAGCCGCCGUGGAGAUGUCGCCCGCGGCGCCGGCUUCAAGGUAGCCGCUCCAUGGGGGUGCGGGAUGGAGCACCAUCGGCGCCGGGAGGUCGAGUUAAGGAGAAGGUGCGAUGCAAUGAGUGUACAACCUCUUUGGUGGCGCCGAGUAGGCCUCGGCUUUGUCCGAGGAGUCGGUGAGGAUGCUGCGGUUCUGGUGGAGCAGGUUAAGGCGGCGCUAUGGGGAUGGAGCAGUCGCGAUAGACGAGGCGAUCGUCGGAGCAGCUCCUUGGAGGUGGAGGACGGGGCGGCUGAACCGGCGGGACGGCGAGAUGGACGAUGGAUCCUCAUCUAGGGAGGUGGACGAGGGACGUCGAGCUGUUGCGCUGGACGACAUCAUCGGGGAAGAGGCUCUCGCUGGGUAGCGGUGAUGUGGCGGGCGGAGGAGGGUGGGGUUUCGCGGCUGGAGCGGUGAGGUUAUGGCGGCCUGGGAUUUGAAUGGUGAAAAGGGGGCGAUGGGAGGGGGUGAAGCAUGACUUAGGAACGCGCUUGUCCAAAAUGUAGGGUGUGUUACAAAAGUACCCCCCGCCGAUUUGAACUAGCGGCCCUUUCGGCUCAGGGUUAGAAGGGGGAUUUCGCAUGUCGGGAUUUGGCAGCUGGAGGGAGUUUUCGUGCGUGUUGUAAUUUCGGGAUAGCAAGGCGCGGGUUGUGAAGGCGCUAGUUUUGGGAGCACGAUAUCUGAAUUUUCGGGAUAUAACAAGACGCGGGUUGAAUUUUAGGGACAAGCCUAACAUGUAGUAAUAUUGUACUUGUACGUACCAAAUCAAUUCGCACUUCCCUCAACCAAAAAGAAAACGAACAAAAUAAAACUAUUCACACCACACAAAGAGAGAGUCUUGCCCCGUUUUACUAUACAAAUGCUAUUCAAAGCUACACCCUCCUUCCAUCUAUAUAGGGCCUAAUGCGUUUUUCGAUGCUAACUUUGACCAAAUAUUAGAGCAAUGGUAUAUGACAUGCAACUUACACAAAGUACACCGUUAAAUUCGUCUGUGAAAGGUUCUUUCAAUGAUAUAAUGUUCACAUUGUGCAUGUCAUGUACUAUUAAUCUUGUCAAUAGUCAAAGGCGGUUUUAAAAAUCUCAUUACGCCCUAUAUAGAUGGAAGGAGGGAGUAUGAAUCCAUGUUAUGUCCGAUUAAAUUUUUUCGCUUGCUGUAUAAUGCAUGUAACCUACUCAUACCAACAUUUUAGUGCAUUCCAAAUGUCUAUACUACCGCUGCAAUUCGAACUAAAUUUGAAUUCGUUUCUCUAUUUCAAUAAGAAUCUACAAUCAUGAUUGUUGCCAACUUCAACCAUCCUAGUUUCCUUGCUAUCCGCCAGAUAUAAAUCAGACGGCCUAUAAUGCAGGAUGGCAGGCACACCAUCAUCAACAACUCCAUUUUUUUAUAAGAGUAGAGAUAAAACAUAUUAAAUGUAGUAUACCAUGUUCAUAACCACACCAUGUGUAUCACCGUUAUAUAUAUUCACACAUCCGUCGGUUUGAAACACUAUGAUAAAUUCUUCAAAUAUCUGAAUUCGCUUUUUAUAAUGAAGUAUAUAUGAUCUCUAUUCGUCUUUUACACACACACAACCCUCUUAUCUUUGUAGCUAGCGCUAACUUUCUCUUGUGCAUGCACACGCCCGCAUCCCUCUCACCCUCCCUCAGCAUUCUCAAGCUCCAUCGCGCAAAUUCGUCUUUUCACUUUAGGUCGUUCACCCACGGUGUGUGUAGGCCCCCCAGCUCCUUCUUUACGGCACACAUCGAUCGAUAUGCCUCACUAGCCAGGUGUGCCUAGCACAAACACAAGCUUCCCCUCCUCUCUUGUCACCGUCCAUGCCUCACUCCCACCACUCUUUUCAUCGUUCUCGUACUCGCACACUCCUCCCCUCGAUAUCAUUUGCUUCUAACACACACAUGCAUGUAUACCGAUCGAUCUCCCAACAUAUACCUAGAUCGACUUUAACUACCCCCCAUCGAUCGACGUACCUCACAAGUUAUGUCUCUCCUUUAUCUUACAAAGGGCGAUUGAUCUUCCUAUGUAGUUACGUUUGCUUACCACAACCACAUCAUCCCCCCUCAUCAUUUGUGCAUGCCUCCUGACCCGUCUCUCACACGCACGUGCACAGACAACAAGCAGCCAUCUCCUCUCUUAUUGAUAUUGCGGGUGUGCCCUCCGUUUGUCUAGCAAGCCUAUCCCACCAGUUUUUAGAAGCAACUCCACUACCACCCCCUCCAACACUCUAGCUCUGUCUCUCUCCCAACCUUAUUCAUCUCCUGCACAUAUGCAUGGAUGCCGAUCGAUCUCCCUUAAUACAUGAGGCAGAUCGAUCUCCUUAACACAUGAGGUUGGCCUCUAUCCUCCUCCACACAUAUACCAGCCAUUGUACCUCUAUAUUUAAUUGGGCCUCCCUCUUCCCCCACCACACACCGAUAGUCGAGCGUUGCAGGUAGGUACCCAUGCCACAGAGACAAACUGCACAUGUCCCAUCUCACGUUCCAGUAGGCCAGCCACUCUAUAUCUUUGACGUGGGCACACACAAAUUCGAUGGCACUCUUUAUCGAUCACGCGCGCACACACACACACAUCAUCCCUCUCUUCGAUUCUAUGGACACCUCAAGCCGAUGAUACCUCCACUCUCUUCUCGUGGAUCGCCCCCUCUAUAUAUAUGUUAUAUCCAGGACUCUAUUUCACACACAUUGCAUAUGUUAAAUUUUUUAUUGACCCCCCGCCCAACAAAAAAAACUCUCAAGAACCCCCACACUAUAUCUCUCUAGGUUUGUAUCUCUCUCACACAACCCCACGUAGGUGGUGUAUGUAUACAAGAAGAGAAUAGGUGCACCGUGCACGUACUCACGCUUCGUGCCCAGCCACACCCGCGCGGGUACAUGGUGGAGCUCAUUUCUCCGUAGAAGCUGAAUUUGUUUUUGAAACAUCAAGUGGCCAGAGACUCGAAAACUUAUUUGCCCAUUAGUGACUUGUCAGGGUGGUGGAUUUUAGUUUGUAAGAUAAUGCCGCAUCCACCUAAAGUAACGAAAGUUCUUACGUAAACUUCCUAGUAAUUCCCUCUUCGUAGGUGCAGCCUUACUCCUAACAUUUGUAAUAUCAGUUUGAAACUUGUAAUAUUGUCGUGUCCUAUUAGGCUAUUCCUACGUUUUCAAAAUCCUGUGAAUCAAACAGGUCCUGAGUUGGUGAUGAUGUUGUGCCUCCCAUCUUUCACCAAUAGCCGUCGGAUCUAGAUCUGACGCAUACAAAGCAAGCUUCUCCAUUUUUGCAAAAAGAUGCCCGCACUUGUUCCCUAUUUACAAACAACUCCUUGUCUCUUACAAUCAGCCUCAUCUCCUUCCCACCACAUCUAGGAGUAGAAGGCCGUGGAAAAAUCUGGCGCGAUGGCCGCUGCCGGAGCCAUCCACCCCCAAUCUUGGUGUUCCAUGCAAUGCACGAGCAUCUACGCACGGGAAAUUAUGUCGAACAGGGCUAGUUGUAAGAAGGCUAGCUCUAUAGCCAUGAUGAUAGUGACUGCAGACGGUGAGGCUGACUAUGGUAUGCCAAACACGGCGCCUAUACUCAGGUGUCAUCUCUGGCGCAGGGUCUUGUCACUUCACUGUGAGGAGCAACACGUAAUAAUUUGACCAACGGAUAGCACAGUGCUAGUACUCCUACUACUACAUUGGUAGUACUACUACUAGUACUGGUAGCACCACCGUCUGGAUUUAGGAGUACUACCACAUCCAUCUGGAUUUUAGUAUUUGACUAGCAAUAUCUAGUAAUGCAUGUCACCAAAAAUGUACUACUCCCUCUGUAAAUAAAUACAUGGUGUUUUAUUCCUAUCGGCGAGAGAACUUAAUGUUUUUUUGCUACUGCUAACUAGAGUACUAAUAGGAUUACAUGCAAUGAACUAAACACUGCAUGUCAUGUUUGGUAGUCUCAAGUCAUUGAAAGCAUGCACGGCCCACAUCUCUCAUUGGUUGAUAUGUCACGAAAUAAGAAACAAGGAGGGAGUUAAUGCAUCAUGCCUAAGUAUUUUGGGAUUAUUUGGUUUUCAUAAGGUGACUUACACAACAUUUUUGUUUACAUGCAUUAACAUUUAAUAGUUAAAUCAAAGGUCAAAACUUGGCGCAAAAUGCAAAGGGGACCAAUAAACCAGUAAACAUCAAACUUCUCUUGCUUGGCCCCAACUAGAGGUCCAGUGAGAUGACUAUACUGCACCGGCACGGAGGGGGACGCAGCUUCAUUGACUUACGGCAACUACCUUUGGGUGAAUGACACGUGGCCCCAGGGGGUGGCUGGCCCACCUAUCAUACAGCCAAAGGCAGGUGUAGUAGAGGGCUGAGGAGUAGUAUGAGAUCAUACGCACCAACGCACGCUAACCAAGGGCUGAGUGAUCACUCGAAUCGCAAGAUCAGUUGACUAGAAGCUACGCUAGACCCAUGGAGGCGAUGAGCGCGAGCAUCAGCCGGCUGUGCCAGAUGGUCCAUGACGCCGGCCUACGGCCCGGCACUGAGGAACGUCUCCACGUAGUAUUGCUUGAGGCCGCCAGGGCGAGGGGCCGCUUGGACGACAGCUUCGUCUCCUUGUUUGACGAGGUCCUCGUUGGUUUACUCGACAAGUUCACCGUCGUCAAGAAGCUUGCGGACGACUUUGACGUAAGCCUCCAGCCGACACGCCCAGGCUCUGCGAUGCCCGCCACCCUCAACGGCCACUAUGGUAACAACCUCUUCGACACACUGGUGGCCCUGCGACUGGCCGCCGUCGCGCCGGAGAAUGUCCACCUCGAGGUCGUGCUCGUCGCGCAGCGCCUGGCGCAGCAAGACACCAUCGACAUAAUCACCCACUUCUACGCGCAAAUCGUCCACAAGGACUACUACAUGCAAUAGGAGGACGAUAGGACACUGGCCUUCUUGGAGCGCAUGGCAACCUUGGACGGCACUGUUCAGAAGCACGUUGAGCUCGCCGCCAACGCCGCUGCUCCUCACACAUCGGUUGGUGACCCGGCGCACUAGGGCGUGAGGAUGUCGUUGAACGUUGAUGGAUCCGUAUGUAUUUUUAUCUUUCCGUCAAAUCCAUGUAGUAGUAUAUGAUACUACAGUAAUUAUCUUGUCGGAUGGCUGAGAAAAUAGGAGGGAGAAGAGAUGGCUGUAGCACGGACUCCAAGAAAAUUGGUGUCGGAUGGGACUCGUGUGGGUGGCGUGUGCCGUACUGCUAGACGUGAAUGCUACUGAGUUAUGGCCCAUGUCACCCCACUAUAUCGAGGUACGUACAACAAAUUUCCUGCAGUCCGUGCUCAGCCCUCCUCUAUCUCUCUUCUCAGCUAACCAGCGGACGCGUGGAGCCCAUCGUCUAUUUCUCACAUGUGACCCCACAUGUCAGUGAAAAUGCAAGAGGACUAAGGGAGUCCUGGAUUAGGGAGUCUCCGGACAGCCGGACUAUAUCCUUUGGCCGUACUGUUAGACUAUGAAGAUACAAGAUUGAAGACUUCGUCUCGUGUCCGGAUGGGACUCUACUUGGCGUGGAAGGCAAGCUAGGCAAUACGGAUAUGUAUAUCUCCUCCUUUGUAACCGACCUUGUGUAACCCUAGCCCUCUCCAGUGUCUAUAUAAACCGGAGGGUUUUAGUCCGUAGGACAACAUACAAUCAUACCAUAGGCUAGCUUCUAGGGUUUAGCCUCUCUGAUCUCGUGGUAGAUCUACUCUUGUACUACCCAUAUCAUCAAUAUAAAUCGAGCAGGACGUAGGGUUUUACCUCCAUCAAGAGGGCCCGAACCUAGGUAAAACUUAGUGUUCCCUGCCUCCUGUUACCAUUCGCCUAGACGCACAGUUCGGGACCCCCUACCCAAGAUCCGCCGGUUUUGACACCGACAAGGACCCACUGAACCUGCACAUCUUUCACCUCGACAUGCUAGUGAUGAAAGACAAAUCCAAUAAAGAUCUUCAGUGGCCGCUUUUGGAGUUACUCAAGAGUAGUAAGAUUCUAUUUACAGUUUAAACCAAGAUGCACAUCUUGUGGCUUCAACUACCACUCUAUUUUCUUUCAUGACACGACCUAGAUGCUGGAUGUCCCACGCAUCGGCAAAAGGAGGGAGAACCCGACCAAAUAUUCGGUUCUGCUAUCGGAUGAGAUUAGUGCACUUGUUGAUACUCCUACUAGAAUAGAGGCUAGACAUGAGACUAGAUGCGAGGAAGCAACGUCUACUUCUUUACACUCGAAGAAGAAAGAAGCACGCAAGAUCGAGCCUCCGUAGAUCAACAAUGAAUGCAUCGAGAAGGCACUAAUCCAACUUACAGGAGUAGUAAAAUGUAUUCUUAUGGUUCUUGUUUUCUUUGGUCUUGCUUUUCUAGUCAAAAUUAUCAUUGGAGUUCGUGCAAAACGGAGGUCCGUUUGGGGUCGUGCGUUGGAGUUGGCCUUACAAGUGGGACCGCAGUUAAGGAACCCGACUAUCAGCAAACCCCCACCUCGCCCGCCGCACGAUGGCUGAAGUUAGGCUGGUCAUAGUGGGAGUAACUUAGCAAGUAACAUAGCGCAUUUCAAGACAAGUUUGCUUAUGUGGCAUAUAGUUAAUGAGGAGAGAAAUGUUUGGAGUAACAUAAUAUGUUACUAUAACAUAACGCAAACCAAAGCAAAAUGAGUCUAUAUUGUAAUAAAUGCAAUCAUCUAUGAUACUACUUGUAUGUUACUUUGCACUAUGAAGGUAGUAACAAAGACUAGUGUCAUAUGCAUGACACUAGUCUAAGAUACUCCCCACUAUAACCACCCUUAGAGAAACGACAAGGUUGAAGAGAUUGCUCUAGCACGGACUCCAAGAAAUAAUAUGGUGUCAGAUGGAUGUCAUGGUGGUGGCGUGUGCCGUACUCCUGGACGUGAAUGCUUGUUCUGGACCAUGCCACCCUACUACUCCUACUACUUACUCCUACUAGUAUAUAGUAUACUAGUAUCGAGGAUUCGAGGUGCUGGUUACGUACAACGAACACAUUAACAUAUGGCUACAGUAAAAACUUUUGUAUUUAUAAUGUAUCCUCGUUGUCGAUGUGGGUUGAUGACCUGUUGUAUGUAAUAAAAUGAUAUGUCUGUGAUAAACUUACUAAAUUUAUGAAUGGCUUUCGAGUCGCUUCUCUAAAUUUGUACUAGCUUCACAUGCUUCGCGCGUCGGGCGGCACCAACAACAAAUAACAAGCCAUGAAAUGAACUUCAACUCAACCAUUCCGCGGUGUUGGAAACACUUGCUUCGAACCACAACUAAUUCUCUGGGACGGGCCAUCUGUUGUCGAUCUGGAGACCAACGCAGGACCGAUCAUCCAGGCUGAAGCGGCCUACUAUAUCAGUACGAGGGUAGGGAACCACCCAAAUGUCCGAGGUAUAGACACAGUUGCUUCUCAUAAAUGUGUCAGCAACAGUUGGAUCGCCUUUCACCAUCAUCGGAUAGUUUUGUCCAAGGAAGAGCGAGUUUUCUCUAAGACUAUCAAUUCUAUGCCAGGGAGAAGGAGUUGGAGCUAGCACACUAGUAUCCAUCCCGAAUACCAUGCAACGGGUAUUGGAAUAGGUCCGGAGAGUGCGACCAUGGGAGACACCUGCUUCCUUACCAGUAACAUCAUCAGUGGGUUGUAUACACACAAGAAGAGGUGAUCCAUCGAAAUUAGUUGCCAGGCGCCACAGAGUAUAUCGGCGCUGCUCGUCCUCAUGCUCGUGAUCAUCACCAUCGUCAUCUCCCCCUUGGUUAUAUAUUUUUUCAAGUAUAGGUGGUGGGAUGUUCACAGGACCUUGGAAACACAAGAAGAAGGUUAAUUAUUAAAGGGAAACUUGCUAACCCGCAUGCAUGUGGAUGAAACAAUUAUAAUUACGGUGGAAGAUAAACGUACCAAAACUACUAGGAUGCCAUGCAAAAACAGUGCCACGAGUGGUGGCAGCAAACACAAGGCCCUCGUAUUGAAUUGCAUCACAGUACUCAUCCGUGUACAUAAACUGAUUUUUGAGCAAUAUCCAUCAAGUCGAACCACGAAGGACGGCAACGAGCUUCUCGAAGAUAGCAACAACUUGAUAGUUGUUGUAAUUCCAAGAGCGGUUGGGAACUCGACAAAUUGCUAUCUUCCGUAGAAGACAGUCACCAUGAUCGUAUUUGAAUGUGCGUACAUUACCGGUGUGCUCAACCUCUGGGCAGUGUGCUGAGAUUUUUGGAAGUGGAACCCGGUGACGAGUGUACACAUUCACAAGUUCCCACUCGCAGUUGGACCCAAUGUAAACAACCCAAUCUCCAUUUGCGCCCGCCCAAGCCUUUCCCUCGAGCGAUGGCAUCUUAACAUCAUACGUAUCAUUAUCAAGCAGCAUCAACUGGCACAGGGCGAGGCCUCCGUCGUGCCAGCGCCAGUCAUCGGGUCAUGGCAAAGAAGAUAGGGGAGAUCAAACCGCUCCUUAACUCUUGGGUUCUUUGUAAUGAUGUUAUUAGGUGAGUCGAGAAUGGGCUUGAAGGAACCUGCCAUGCUAGCUGAGGUGAUGACGUCGCACCGAUCAAUGAGUUCCUCCACCACGUCAUUUUUCAGAUCGGGGCAAGAAUAACGGGGUCGUUUCCGGCCUGUCCCUCCACGGAGAAGACGAUCGAACAAUGGCAGAAGAAAGGGUGAAGGGCUGAAGGAAAAUGGAAGAGGGAGAGGAAGAGCGUGCGACAGCAGUUCCAAAUCGAGAGGGAAAGGCGAAGAGUCAGUGGACGGUUGCGAGUUUGCCACGGUUCACGAAGAGGCACCCCGUCCUACACGUCCGUUCGGAAAUACUGGGCUGUGCGGGACACUCUGGCCUGUCUAGACAACCUUUUCUUUUAUGUUUACCAUAGACCAGCCCAGUAGUUUUUUUUCUUUCUGAAAAUGGCUAGCCCAAUUCUUUUGUGAUUUGUCAAGUAAGUCGCUUUAUCAGGCUCGCUGGGCUGCAAAUCUUUCAAGACGAGGAGAGCUUCAUUCAGCUGGCCGAGAAAAUGGCCUAUCAAUAAUGAGAAAUGGGUUGUACAUUUUUAAAACACAUCAAACGGGCAAUUAUUUUAAAAUACCUUUUUUUCAUUUCGAGAUUUUAAAUUGCAUUGAUUUUUAUGCGUGG